GGACGUGGAGGGGUUGGAGGAACCUGAAGGUCCUACAGGACCUGGAGGGGUUGGAGGAACCUGGAGAUCCUACAGGGACGUGGAGGGGUUGGAGGAACCUGAAGGUCCCAUGGGGACAUGGAGGUGUAGGAGGAACCUGAAGGUCCUACAGGGACAUGGAGGGGUAGGAGAUAUUGGAAGGUCCUACAGGGACCCACCACCCCUCCCCACCCCAAGGUCCAGGUGGACCCACCACCCCUUCCCACCC